ensembl:lncRNA
GGCAGGGAAUCCCCAAGCAGUGACCAGACUCUCUGAGGUGCUUUCCAGCCCCUGCUGUGUGACAGUUCCUGGGGCCUGGAAGUCCCUGAGGACAAACUGUCCAAUCUCCUGGGACACGAUGUGCAGGAGGAAGCUGAAGCCCAGCUUCUGGCUGGUUCUCCAGAAGAAAAUUGGAAUAUUAUCAAAAUGAAAAUUUCCCUACAGUGCAUUUCAAACAUGCAAACCCUGGUUUUCCCUCAGAAAAUGUUCGCAGUUGAACUUCCCACCCCUCCUACUGCACAUCUGACUGUGUUUCUUCUGCACAUUCAGUUCCCUCUGCUUGCACAGGAGGUGGUUUGGGGUUUCUCACCAUCUCUGCCUCCAGCCAUGGACGUUCCAUGUCCUAUCCUCUUACCUCUGCCCCAGUAUCCCCCUGCCUGCCCAGGAGCAUCUCAGUGCUCCAGACUGACUGCUUUCCUCUCGUUUGAACCCCCAUCCCUGUGUGUGCCCAGCCCCUGGGGGAAGGCAGAGCUCUGCUGGGUGCUGGGGGUGUCUGUGCACACGGGUGGUGCAGGGGGAGAGACCCCUCCAUUCUCUCCACCUGCUGGAGGGGAUGCUGCAGCUCCUUUCUGUGACAGCAGGGAUUCCAGAUGUGCCAAACAACCUGCUCAGGAGGGUGGCAAAGGCCCCGGGGGCCUGCAGCUCGUUCCUGUGGGGAGAGCUGGGUAAGGGCUACAUGGAUGCCCAUGGAUACCUGGGGCAGGGAGCUGUGCUGCCUGGGACUCCAGCAGCCACUUCUGAACUGCAGAGGAAGCUGGCUCAGUCCCUCUCAGCUGGGAGAGCACUCAGGACAUGCACAGGGACUUAGGGACUGCAGUCCUUCCUGGAUGCUGCCUGGAAAAUAAUGGGAGACAGGGCUUGAACACACAAAAGCAACCAAGGGGCUGCUCAGACAUUCCCACCUUGGUUUCCACCCCAUUGCUCCUUGCAGCUCCCCCACCAGAGGAAGCACAGGAACCCUUGGGCACCUUCCCCUGCAGCCUCCAGCCCCUGCCUGCGGGUCUGGGUGGCUGAUCCGUGACAAGGACAUCCUGCUGUGUCCCAGCCGUCACACAAACCACAGUGCCAGAGCAGUGGCAGUGAGGACACGCUGUGCCAGCCUCCAGGAGGACUGUGAGGAGCUGCUGGGGCCCUGCACCCGCCCUUGUCCCCUGUCCUUGCCUGGAGCUCAGGCUGGGGUCUGGUGCUGUUCUCUGUCCCUGUCCUGGAAGGCAGCAUGCUCCAACUGCAUCCGCUCUCCCCUCUGCUGGAGCAGCUCAUGGGGAGCUUUUCCUCCAAAUAUUCUGAAGGAUAGUUUCUCUGUUUUUCAGCCUCUUUGUAAAGAACUGAGCCCCAGAUCUGCAGGCAGCCUUCCUGUGCAGGGUUCCCCAGUGCUUCCUGCAGAGGCUCAAGUCAUUGCCAGCUGCUGCUCUGCCUCCUCAAGGUGAAUCCAAGGACAACAAUGCCACCUUUUUGUUUGGAAAUUCAUGAUCUAUGACCCCCAGGUCAGUAUUAGGGACCACACACACCAUCAGUGUCCCCACUGGAUCUGCAGUCAUGUCCAAAGAGCAGGACCAGCAAUACUUGCUCCUGUUUUCAUGGCUCUACACUGGUUGCCCUAAAAUACAUUCCAGUUCUGUGCUUAUCAAAGAACCCGAGUGUUCUGGCAUCAUUAUUUGCUGUCUCACAGAUUUUAUCACCAGUGAUUGCUUCCAGAGCAAAGGCAGGAAUACUGAAGUGGCAACUGCAUUCCAAAUCCUUCCAUCCCUGUAGGAGCACCCACGUCCCACGGCAUCUCCUCAGCACCAGGCCUUGGAGCCUGGCCAUGGGCCCGUGGGCACUCUGCAUGUGCUUUGCUCCAUUUUACACCUCAGAUUAACCUUGCAGCUGCACACAGGAAGCAUUUCCACAGCCUGUGCUGCAGUUACUGCUCUCAAUUCCAUUUCAGCUUUCUCAAAAGAAGAAUUGUUUGGUAGCUCCACAAAGAGUGGCACAAAUUGCAUAUUCCUAAUACUUAAUUUUGUCUUCUAUGAAAUUUCCUAUUGCCUUUUCCGCCACCAGGACUGAUGCCUUACCCCGAGGCAGGGGAAACUUCCAGCUGGGUUCAGUGCUGCUCCUCUGAGGUCUCUGGUUUUACACUGGGUUACUCUGGCCUUGGGAGGAGUUACAGCAAUCACUGGCGAGGGGACACCUCACCCACAGCCCUCCCAUGCUCGUGUCCAACCCCUGCAUCCAGGAGGUGCUGCAUGAAGGGCAGGAUCCCACUGCACUAAUUGCUAACAGGCAAAGCAGGUCAGUUCUUGCCCUCAGUCAUGGCCAAGGAGGGGGCCACGACAUGCCAGGAGGCAGCGACGGGGAAAGCAGAGAGCAUCCCUGGCUGCCAGGACCAGCUGGGGGACGUGGCUGUGCUCCCCACGCACAGC